rnacentral:rRNA from 1 species
AGCAGCCGCGGUAAUUCCAGCCCCUAUAGCGUAUAUUAAAGUUGUUGCAGUUAAAAAGCUCGUAGUUGAAUUUCGGGGUUAGUAGGUUGGUCAUGCCUCUGGUAUGUACUGGUCUCACUGAUUCCUCCUUCCUGAUGAACCGUAAUGCCAUUAAUUUGGUGUUGCGGGGAAUUUGGACUGUUACUUUGAAAAAAUUAGAGUGUUUAAAGCAAGCUAACGCUUGAAUACAUUAGCAUGGAAUAAUGAAAUAGGACGUUCGAUCCUAUUUUGUUGGUUUCUAGGAUUGACGUAAUGAUUAAUAGGGAUAGUUGGGGGCAUUAGUAUUCAAUUGUCAGAGGUGAAAUUCUUGGAUUUAUUGAAGACUAACUACUGCGAAAGCAUUUGCCAAGGAUGUUUUCAUUAGUCAAGAACGAAAGUUAGGGGAUCGAAGACGAUCAGAUACCGNCGUAGUCUUAACCCUAAACUAUGCCGACUAGGGAUCGGAUGAUGUUAAUUUUUUAAUGACUCA